UGAGAAUUGGCUACGAGAUUUCUACGGACUGUUCACUUUGGAUAUGCUCUAUUUAAAUCUGUUGUCCAUCGAUAGAACAGUUUGUACUACUCGUCCCAUUCGACAUUUUUUUGAUUAGAAUUUAUCUGAAUUAUGAAAUUUAGCAAAGGGUUAUAAUAAACCUUAACUAUGUAUGUUGGUACCAUUUGUGAUAUAUUGGUCAUUAAGACAACCCCAUUUACAUGACUCAUAAUUUGCGGUUAGGUAUAAUCGAUCGAGUCAGCUGUAAGUGUGAGUAAGUUAGUCGUCGUAUAGGUUAUAUUAAGUUUUGUAUUCGAAUAUUGUGGUUAUGGUGUUCUUGUUGACUAUAAUUUGGGGUUUUAUAUAAAUCUACUAAAUCAACUGGAACACAAUUUGGUCUUUAGGAUAUAUAUCAGAGGACUGGUCCUACGAGUUUGGACGAUGUCCUACGAUAGGUUAGUUUAGAGUAGUGAAGUAAUCAUAGGUUCGCACUAUAUUUUUGCUAUUUGGUUUGUUCACGCCUGUGUUGGAUCCCACAGCGUGUGAUUUUUCUCUAUGAAUACUUGUAUUGAGUAUUUAUAAGUAUAUAUGGAAAAAAAUUGUUCCUAAGAUCAAAUUUUUUUUCCGAGUAAUGGGGGAAUGUAACGAUGAGUGCCAUCGUUACGAUAUUAUUAUAUUUAUUCCUAUAAGCCACCUAAUAAGUAUGCAACCAGUUAUGCGUUCGUGCUUAGAACGGGUUACCUAGAUUUGUGACCAAAUAUAAUAGAAGGUUGGUACUACGCUUGGGGAAUUCUGGUCUUAGCUUGUGGCUGUACGGCUUCCGACGGAGGGGCAUGUCAUAUCGCCCAUUGGAGAGGAUUGUCACUUCAAUUUUCAAUCUGGUUGGAUGAACAAGUAAAUUUUUCCGUGGUCACUGUUUAAAGAAUACAAUAUUUAGUUAAAAUAUUCAUUUAUUAUAAGAUUGGUUUAUUUUGGAAGGAGCUAUUUUUUGUUUUGGAUUUGUGCGGUGAGAGGAAGAGUUUUAUUUCCAAGUUUCCUUUUGGAAAACAGUGGCCACGGAAGAAAAUAAGAAGAUGGAAAAUUAAGUCAAUCAUACUUUAAUUUGUUUUUUUGGAAUAAAUAAUCAUUUUGGGGAUAUUUUGGAUGGAAUGUGGAUGUUUUGUUUGGUUUUUGUGGAAUAAAAGUUGAGUUUUCCGAUACUGGGCAGCUACCUGCUUGCCGUACCUUCCUGUUGGUGUGGAGUACCUCCCUAGGGUUGGGAACCAGAGGAUACCUUAUUUGGCUCUCCCCUCAUCAUCUUCACCGAAGGUUGGAAGAAGCAAUCCGCCUACUUUUUGUAGGGACAGGUUUUUAUAUAACUAAAUUUGCAUGUCAAUUUGUUUUAAUAAUUUCCAAUUUUACUAUUUUUUUUCUCUUCGUAUCAAUAACUUUCAAAUCACUCUAAUAAUAAUAUACCCUCAUUGUUUUUUUUCUUAACCAUAAUUAACAUAAUAUUCAAUAUUUUUCAACAAUUUUUAUUAUAUUUCACCCUUAUUUAAUUUAUUUAAAAUAGCCUGGGAUUUAUAAACCAUAUGUAAGAUAAUGUGCACAGUAUCUAGGUCAUAUCCUAUUUAAUAAUAGUUAUUCCAGUUGUCGGAUGUUGUCACCUCCGAUUAGAUACGGUAUUGUCAACCAAUAUUGUAACCCUCAUUAAUAAUAAGUUGUUAAGGUAAAUACCUAUUCAUACUAAAUUCAUUACAUAUUUUUUUCUACUGUAAAACCUGCAUUAUCGACAGCAGUGUACUAGCCUAGUACAUCGGAUAAUUAGCUAGUGUAAAAAUUGUAUAUAGGGUAUAUAGGUUUUUUUUAUUAAAUGUGGUUGUACAUA
rnacentral:lncRNA from 1 species